rnacentral:rRNA from 1 species
UACGUAGGGUCCGAGCGUUGUCCGGAAUUAUUGGGCGUAAAGAGCUCGUAGGCGGUUUGUCGCGUCUGCUGUGAAAUCCCGAGGCUCAACCUCGGGUCUGCAGUAGGUACGGGCGAGACUGGAGUGCGGUAGGGGGAGGAAUGGAAUUCCUGGUGUAGCGGUGGAAUGCGGCAGAUAUCAGGAGGAACACCGAUGGCGAAGGCGGGGU